GGAUAUGAGGGUGAUCUGGCUGUGACAUCUGUCACUCCACUGAUAGCCAGGGUUGAUUCAGCUAACCUGGCUGUCUUGGUGGGUGUCCAGUUCCUCCCUCACUGCUCCAUGUGUGUCCUUCCUGAAGCUGGAAGCUGAGAGCUCAGUCGAAGAGGAUGACCUUCCCCAAAAGAGGAGGACCCUACUUUGGUCAAGGGUAUAUGAGUAGCUGCAUUCCCCUGGUAGAACCUCCAAACAAGUUCUCAAGGUCCAUAAACGGUGAUGACAUGAUUUCCAAGUCUGAGAGUGGAAAGAACAUUUCAUAAGAACAGGGCUUGACCUAGACAGUAUGAGAGCUUUCAAAGUACUGCUUU
ensembl:misc_RNA 7SK 7SK RNA